CCCUCACUUUCGCUCGCCAGCAGACUGUGAGUCACACAUAUUUGCCGCGCGUGUCAGUGUUGCUUUUUGAUGGAUCUUUACCUCCACACGUGCUGCUAAAACGAAUCCCCAUUAAGACUGUUGUGGACUUUGGGCCAGCUGCUCUGUCAGGAUUUCCUCUAGUUGGCAUUCAAUAAGGAACGACUAGAGGGGCCUUCCUUGACAGAUGCGGGGCUGGAAACAGGAAGCAAGCUAACGCCGUCACCUCCAGGUCGCUAUAAACAGUGACACAAGGAGUCACGAAGGGGAAGGGGUCUCGCGCCAAGUGAACAGCUACGAAAACAAACCCAACGGAAAAUGGAGAGCGCGUGUGUGCAUUCAAGAGUUUUAUCGCCCUCUGCUGGCGCUUGGGUGCGACUGAUUUUAGAGGCUUCAGCACCCAUGAGCAUUGUGAGUGCUGUCAGCAUUGCUGCAGAGAUUGAAGAGGUGGGAGCGUCAGCCUGUUAGUGCUCAGACCAUACGCCGCACUCUACAUCAAAUUGGUGUGCAUGGGUGUCACCCCAGGAGGAAGCUUCUUCUGAAGACGGUACACAAGAAAGCCCACCCGUCUCAUCGGACCAUAGGACAUGGUUCCAGUAAUCCAUGUGCUUGGUUGACAUGUCUUCAGCAAACUGUUUGCUGGCUUUCUUGUGUACUUUUUCAAGUAAUCUGUGACAACACUGCCCAUUAAAAGAUAAAUAUCCGUGGAAAUGCGAGGGGUGUACUCACAUUUGUGAUAUACUGCAUACGAAAGAUGAUUUUGCAACAUCUGCAGAACAUACAUUGGGAAGGUGGCGCAGUGAACAGAGACUGAGUGAAGCCAGAUCUCUAAUUAUGUAUCCGGUCAUGCUCUGUCGCUCUUUCUUUCAGCAAAAUGGUACAAUGCGGCCAGUUGUUACUGUAUAUAUUUCACUGAACGCUCCUAAUGUUUAACGCAAAAGAAACCCUGCCUCUCAUCCAAGUGACUUUGUUUUUCUAUGCAUCAUUAAGAUCAGAAUGUUGGACGUUUUGACCUCCCACUGUGAAAACUACAAUGGAAUGACCCACUAAAAGUAGAAGCCAUGUGGGGGGAAUUAAAAAUCCUGGCCUGUAGUUUUAUGAGAUCCCAAUUCGACACCUAUGGGGCAGAUUUCACCAAGUGUUUAUACACUAAAUAAUAACUUUACUACACACUUGGAAGAAAUGUUAACUGUACAUUCCCCAAAUAUGGCGCUGAAACGGUAUAACCAGAGACACAAAGCAGAGGCGUUUCUAGUAAACUAGGCGACAUGUGCAGUGUUUGCGUGACUGAGCAGCGGUCCAAGUCUCCAAGCAGCUGACUGAUGUAAACAAUAGGUCGUGAGCAAAGAGUCAAUGCAGAAGA